rnacentral:rRNA from 1 species
GUCUACGGCCAUGCCACCCUAAACAUGCCUGAUCCCAUCUGAUCUCGGAAGCUAAACAGGGUCGGGCCUGGUUAGUACUUGGAUGGGAGACCACCUAGGAAGACCAGGUGUUGUAGGCA